CCUACGGGUGGCUGCAGUAGGGAAUCUUCCACAAUGGACGAAAGUCUGAUGGAGCAACGCCGCGUGAGUGAAGAAGGGUUUCGGCUCGUAAAGCUCUGUUGGUAGUGAGGAAAGAUAUGGGUAGUAACUGGCCUUUAUUUGACGGUAAUUACUUAGGAAGUAACGGCUAACUACGUGCCAGCAGCCGCGGUAAUACGUAGGUGGCAAGCGUUGUCCGGAGUUAUUGGGCGUAAAGCGCGUGCAGGCGGUUCAAUAAGUCUGAUGUGAAAGCCUUCGGCUCAACCGGAGAAUUGCAUCAGAAACUGUUGAACGUGAGUGCAGAAGAGGAGAGUAGAACUCCAUGUGUAGCGGUGGAAUGCGUAGAGAUAUGGAAGAAUACCAGUGGCGAAGGCGGCCCUCUGGUCUGAAACUGACGCUGAGGUUCGAAAGCAUGGGUAGCGAACAGGAUUAGAUACCCGGGUAGUC
rnacentral:rRNA from 1 species